AAUAGAUACCCGGGUAGUCCACGCCGUAAACGAUGAGUGCUAAGUGUUAGAGGGUUUCCGCCCUUUAGUGCUGCAGCUAACGCAUUAAGCACUCCGCCUGGGGAGUACGGUCGCAAGACUGAAACUCAAAGGAAUUGACGGGGGCCCGCACAAGCGGUGGAGCAUGUGGUUUAAUUCGAAGCAACGCGAAGAACCUUACCAGGUCUUGACAUCCUCUGACAACUCUAGAGAUAGAGCGUUCCCCUUCGGGGGACAGAGUGACAGGUGGUGCAUGGUUGUCGUCAGCUCGUGUCGUGAGAUGUUGGGUUAAGUCCCGCAACGAGCGCAACCCUUGAUCUUAGUUGCCAGCAUUUAGUUGGGCACUCUAAGGUGACUGCCGGUGACAAACCGGAGGAAGGUGGGGAUGACGUCAAAUCAUCAUGCCCCUUAUGACCGUGGGCUACACACGUGCUACAAUGGAUGGUACAAAGGGCUGCAAGACCGCGAGGUCAACGCCAAUCCCAAUAAAACCAUUCUCUAGUUCGGAUUGUAGG
rnacentral:rRNA from 1 species